rnacentral:tRNA from 1 species
GAGGGUACAGCUCAGCGGUAGAGUGCGUGCUUAGCAUGCACCAGGUCCUAGGUUCAGUCCCCGGUACCUCCA